GCUGCUUUGGCUCUCAUGCAGUCGAGCGGACAGAUGGGAGCUUGCUCCCUGAUGUUAGCGGCGGACGGGUGAGUAACACGUGGGUAACCUGCCUGUAAGACUGGGAUAACUCCGGGAAACCGGGGCUAAUACCGGAUGGUUGUUUGAACCGCAUGGUUCAGACAUAAAAGGUGGCUUCGGCUACCACUUACAGAUGGACCCGCGGCGCAUUAGCUAGUUGGUGAGGUAACGGCUCACCAAGGCGACGAUGCGUAGCCGACCUGAGAGGGUGAUCGGCCACACUGGGACUGAGACACGGCCCAGACUCCUACGGGAGGCAGCAGUAGGGAAUCUUCCGCAAUGGACGAAAGUCUGACGGAGCAACGCCGCGUGAGUGAUGAAGGUUUUCGGAUCGUAAAGCUCUGUUGUUAGGGAAGAACAAGUGCCGUUCAAAUAGGGCGGCACCUUGACGGUACCUAACCAGAAAGCCACGGCUAACUACGUGCCAGCAGCCGCGGUAAUACGUAGGUGGCAAGCGUUGUCCGGAAUUAUUGGGCGUAAAGGGCUCGCAGGCGGUUUCUUAAGUCUGAUGUGAAAGCCCCCGGCUCAACCGGGGAGGGUCAUUGGAAACUGGGGAACUUGAGUGCAGAAUAGGAUAGUGGAAUUCCACGUU
rnacentral:rRNA from 1 species